GGAGGGAUGGCCGAGCGGUUGAAGGCGGCGGUCUUGAAAACCGUUGUAGGGGUGACUCUACCGUGGGUUCGAAUCCCACUCCCUCCG
rnacentral:tRNA from 1 species